AUUGAACGCUGGCGGAAUGCUUUACACAUGCAAGUCGAACGGCAGCACGGGGCAACCUGGUGGCGAGUGGCGAACGGGUGAGUAAUACAUCGGAACGUGCCCAGUCGUGGGGGAUAACGUAGCGAAAGCUACGCUAAUACCGCAUACGAUCUAAGGAUGAAAGCGGGGGAUCGCAAGACCUCGCGCGGUUGGAGCGGCCGAUGUCAGAUUAGGUAGUUGGUGGGGUAAAGGCUCACCAAGCCGACGAUCUGUAGCUGGUCUGAGAGGACGACCAGCCACACUGGGACUGAGACACGGCCCAGACUCCUACGGGAGGCAGCAGUGGGGAAUUUUGGACAAUGGGCGCAAGCCUGAUCCAGCCAUUCCGCGUGCAGGAUGAAGGCCUUCGGGUUGUAAACUGCUUUUGUACGGAGCGAAAAGGCUCUCUCUAAUACAGGGGGCUCAUGACGGUACCGUAAGAAUAAGCACCGGCUAACUACGUGCCAGCCGCCGCGGUAA
rnacentral:rRNA from 1 species